AUGCUGAGUUUUACAGGAUUGCUCAAAUCAACCUCAGGAGUACCUUCUCUUUUUUGGAUGAAUACACUAUCAAGUUGUAUCGAUCAUGUGGUGGGCAAUAUGGAGGACCCUCCUGGACCAACUGGACAAUCAAAAGUCUAAUGUGCUCGCUCAAAGGAAGGCUACAGCUCUGAAAGGUCUACUUUGUUUAUGAGGGAAAAGUUCCGGAAGGCUUACCUAAUCACAGAGCCAGAAGAUAUUUGCACAAAUAAGAUGGAGAUGGACAUCUUUAGCAUUGUUGAAGAUGAUGUUGCCACUGUUCAGACCAACCCAAAUAUAAGGUGCCAGUCUGUGGUUCUGGAAGAGCAAAUCGACAGCUGUCAUUCUCCUCUUUGGUUUGAUUUAUUUCGUCAAUAUGAACUACCCCAAAGAACUGAAACACACCUUUGAAACUAUUCAGAAAGUGUGUAUUGGCCUUGACCCUUAGUGCUCAGCUAGAGUCCAAUCUUUCAAAAGCAAAAUGUAUUUGUUUGUACACUGAAAUCCUGUUACUCUUGGUGUUGUCACAAUACUUAAAUUCAGUUUUGUUUAUUUACAUUUUCAAAUUUUAAAAACAUCCAUUUCCCGCUAAUUGAUAGAUUGGCUGUUGUGUUCAAGUGCUCAACAAAAAUGACUGUGAUUGGCCGAGAAGUUCAUCAUUUCACUGCUCUUCGCUGAUGUUCAUGGAGUGCAAACACAGAUACACACACACACACACUGGAGUGUUUCAAAACUGUGCCGAUCAGUCAGCGUAACACUUGUAUGUCAGCUUAUACACAGACCAGUUGAUAAAUGUGAAAUGCUUAAGUGUCCUUGUAGCUGUGGUUACAGUCAGUAAACAGCAGUGAGUCCGGUGAACUGAUGUCCUUCAAGCCCAGUUUUUUUUUUCGUUUGAGCAUGUGAACACAAUGGCAAAUUAACAGUGUAUAAAAACAUGCUCAACAGCGCUCAAAUGUUAGCAGGAAAUAGACGUUUUUAAAAUUUCAGAACCGAUGGGUAACAAAAUUAAAGUAUCAUGACAACACUAACUACUCUUGCACUUUGAAAAAAAGUGUUGAUAGUGCUAGCACUUUAAAUAUUUUUUUUGUUUUACUCGAGCACUUAAAAGGCAUUACAGGAUUUGAGGAUUGAAUUUUUUCCUCCUCUUUUUCUUCUUUGGACUGCAUUUCAU